rnacentral:sRNA from 1 species
UAGAGGCAGCGGAGACAGGAACGGAGCCAAGGCGGUGGAGGCGGGAGGGAAACCAGCCGGGUGU